CCAUCACAUCUUGACAUGUGUAGUCUUUGGUAGCUAUCGCAUGAAUGAAUGGUGGAAUAUAAUAUUGUCAGCCGUCUUCGGAGCUGAAGUCUCUUUAUUGCUUCAGAUUCUUCCUCAAUGUCUGACACAUUU